rnacentral:rRNA from 1 species
AUGGGCGAGCCUGAUCCAGCCAUGCCGCGUGUGUGAAGAAGGUCUUCGGAUUGUAAAGCACUUUAAGUUGGGAGGAAGGGUUGUAGAUUAAUACUCUGCAAUUUUGACGUUACCGACAGAAUAAGCACCGGCUAACUCUGUGCCAGCAGCCGCGGUAAUA